rnacentral:rRNA from 1 species
AUUGAACGCUGGCGGCAGGCUUAACACAUGCAAGUCGAGCGGUAGCACAAGAGAGCUUGCUCUCUGGGUGACGAGCGGCGGACGGGUGGGUAAUGUCUGGGAAACUGCCUGAUGGAGGGGGAUAACUACUGGAAACGGUAGCUAAUAACGCAUAACGUCGCAAGACCAAAGAGGGGGACCUUCGGGCCUCUUGCCCUCAGAUGUGACCAGAUGGGAGUAGCUAGUAGGUGGGGUAAUGGCUCACCUAGGCGACGAUCCCUAGCUGGACUGAGAGGUUGACCGGCCGCACGGGAGCGAGGAUAAGGGCCAGACUCCGACGGGAGGCACGGGCGGGGAAUCUUCGGCAAGGGGCGGAAGCCUGAUGCAGGCAAGCCGCGUGUGUGAAGAAGGCCUUCGGGGUGUAAAGCACGUUCAUCGAGGAGGAAGGUGGUGAACUUAAUACGUUCAUCAAUUGACGUUACUCGCAGAAGAAGCACCGGCUAACUCCGUG